rnacentral:rRNA from 1 species
CGUAGGGUGCGAGCGUUAUCCGGAAUUAUUGGGCGUAAAGAGCUCGUAGGCGGUUUGUCGCGUCUGUCGUGAAAGUCCGGGGGCUUAAACCCCGGAUCUGCGGUGGGUACGGGCAGACUAGAGUGCAGUAGGGGGAGACUGGAAUUCCUGGUGGUAGCGGUGGAAUGCGCAGAUAUCAGGAGGAACACCGAUGGCGAAGGCAGGUCUCUGGGCUGUAACUGACGCUGAGGAGCGAAAGCAUGGGGGAGGCGAACAGGAUU